CCAAUAGCGUAUAUUAAAGUUGUUGCAGUUAAAAAGCUCGUAGUUGAAUUUCGGGAUCAAAUUGUCGGUCGUGCCUCGGUACGCACUGGUCUUAUUGGUUCCUACCUUCUGAAGAACCGCGAUGUCAUUAAUUUGGUGUCGUGGGGAAUCAGGACUGUUACUUUGAAAAAAUUAGAGUGUUUAAAGCAGGCUUACGCUUGAAUACAUUAGCAUGGAAUAAUGAAAUAGGACGUUUGAUUCUAUUUUGUUGGUUUCUAGGAUUGACGUAAUGAUUAAUAGGGAUAGUUGGGGGCAUUAGUAUUCAAUUGUCAGAGGUGAAAUUCUUGGAUUUAUUGAAGACUAACUACUGCGAAAGCAUUUGCCAAGGAUGUUUUCAUUAAUCAAGAACGAAAGUUAGGGGAUCGAAGACGAUCAGAUACCGUCGUAGUCUUAACCAUAAACUAUGCCGACUAGGGAUCGGAUGAUGUUAAUUUUUUAAUGACUCAUUCGGCGCCUUACG
rnacentral:rRNA from 1 species